UUAAUCUGUUGUUAUUGGUUUAAUGUUACAUUAGUGUUAAAUCUUCUUUGUUUCUUAUUUCUACCAAUGUUUUAAGAUUCUGAAAACUGAAAAUCGUGUAUAUAYCUCAAGACAAGGAUGUGAAAGCCCUAAAUGUCUUCCAUCAGARUCUGAGUUAUAGAGACAACUGACAUGAUGCUGAGUACAAAUUUAUAAAUGCUUCAGAAGAACCAAGCUGUACACUUGCUGUACUUUGAAGAGGUUUGAACUGAAGAUGACACACUACUAGGAGCAAGGAAAUCAUUAUGAAUUUUUACACUAGUAUUGACGACACUGCGUGGUUCCAAUAAAUUACAAUGAUGACACGUAUUUAUGGAGGUAAAGGAAAAUGAACUCCUCAAAUCUCAUAGCUGUGGUGAUACAUUGCUGGAGCACCAAGGUGUCACUAGCCUGAAAGUGACAGCUGUGCUUUCAUUGAGAGGAAAGGAUUUUAGCUCUUGGAUCCCUGUGGCAAGUGACAGUYCUCAAAUUUGCAGAAAUGCAGGAGACUUCAGGAUCCUACAUGCUGAACUUUUCUUUGUAAAGUCAUGCCCUGGCCAUGUCUGCACCUCAAGUCUUUUUUGAUACCAUUCCGGGCUGUGAUUGUGCCCUGCCRUAUGCCUUUUCUUGUGCAAGCACUUGAAGUUAGAGAAAUGCACAUGAUCUAAGGCUGUGCAGAAGGAAAACAAGCACAACUCUUCUUUGCCAAAUGGAAAAAUAAUCUCUAUAAGGUGAUUUUACAUAUYGAUUUUCCCUUGGCAAGAAGCAUGGGUUGUUGUGAUUACACACACAUGCACAUCCUGCUUUCUUCAUGUCCUAUGACUUUGGGGAAGUAACAUUAACAGAGAGAUGGAGAAAUUAAUCUGGGAUAUUUGAGAGCAGGGAAGAACUAGAAAGGGAAUUGCAGCUUUAAGUGACUGCCUCUUUUUGUUACCAGCAUCUAGAACUCUAAGUGGCAUUGGGCCCCAUUUCCAGAAACUAUAACUAAAUGCAAGACAGUUUACACAAAAUCUUAAAUUUUACCUGACUGGGUAAAAUGGAAGAAUUUUUGGAUUGACCAGAAUGAGGAUGUUUUUGUUCAACUGAAUCAAAAUKAUUCAUGCUAGAUGAGAGAAGAACAUAUCUGGGCUGCUAAUACUGAUGUUCUGCAUCAGCCAGUUUAGAUCAGAAUCUUUGCCUAGAUUUAACUCUGGUUCUGUACCAAAACGUGCCUUGAUUUGAUUACACCAGCCCUGACAAGUUCAUUAGCUGGAGCACGCUCAGGAAGGAGAUGAGGGUAAGGGUGAUACAUUGAGCCAAUCAGCUGGGCACUGUUCUGUUUGGGGAGUGUUGAAACUUUGCAGUGAAAUUAAAAUGCAGCUGGAAUUGGCUUUUUGAAUGGUARAAGUGCAGCUGGGAAGUAACUGGUGGGUUAAAACUGCAGAUGAAAACUGUGGCGACUUGCAGCAAUUAAGCAGUCUGGAGUCUUUCAGAGAAUGAGCAAAAAACCACACAUUUUAAAUACAGUGAAAUUAUCGGGCAAAUAUAUGUCUGCAGCUUUUUCCUGACACUUUAUUUCAUCA